rnacentral:rRNA from 1 species
AUAAAUGGCCGCAGUACCUUGACUGUGCUAAGGUAGCAUAAUCAAUUGGCUUUUAAUUGAAGUCUAGAAUGAAUGGGAUAAUGGAAUUUAGCUGUCUUGAUUUUUUUAAUAAAAAUUUAUUUAUAAGGUGAAAAUACCCUAAAAGUAUUAUAAAGACAAUAAGACCCUAUGAAUUCUUAAAUUUUUAUGGUGGGGCGACAGUUUAAAAAUAAAAUCUUAAAUUUAAAAAUAUAUAACGAUUUUUUUAAUAAAAAUUAAAUUACCUUAGGGAUAACAGCAUUAUUAUUUAAAUAGUUUGUGACCUCGAUGUUGGACUAGGAACUAAAAGGCUAACC